rnacentral:rRNA from 1 species
AGAGUGAACGCUGGCGGUAGGCCUAACACAUGCAAGUCGAACGGCAGCACAGUAGGAGCUUGCUCUUACGGGUGGCGAGUGGCGGACGGGUGAGGAAUACAUCGGAAUCUACCUUUUGGUGGGGGAUAACGUAGGGAAACUUACGCUAAUACCGCAUACGCCCUUCGGGGGAAAGCCGGGGACCAGCAAUGGCCUGGCGCUGAUAGAUGAGCCGAUGUCGGAUUAGCUAGUUGGUGAGGUAAUGGCUCACCAAGGCGACGAUCCGUAGCUGGUCUGAGAGGAUGAUCAGCCACACUGGAACUGAGACACGGUCCAGACU